rnacentral:rRNA from 1 species
UACGGGGGGGUAAGCGUUGUUCGGAAUUACUGGGCGUAAAGGGCUCGUAGGCGGCCAACUAAGUCAGACGUGAAAUCCCUCAGCUUAACUGGGAACUGCGUCUGAUACUGGAUGGCUUGGAUUCGGGAGAGGAAUGCGGAAUUCCAGGUGUAGCGGUGAAAUGCGUAGAUAUCUGGAGGAACACCGGUGGCGAAGGCGGCAUUCUGGACCGACAUUGACGCUGAGGAGCGAAAGCCAGAGGAGCAACGGG